GACGAACGCUGGCGGCGUGCCUAAUACAUGCAAGUAGAACGCACAGUUUAUACCGUAGCUUGCUACGCCAUACACUGUGAGUUGCGAACGGGUGAGUAACGCGUAGGUAACCUGCCUGGUAGCGGGGGAUAACUAUUGGAAACGAUAGCUAAUACCGCAUAAUAUUGAUUAUUGCAUGAUAAUUGAUUGAAAGAUGCUAUUGCAUCACUACCAGAUGGACCUGCGUUGUAUUAGCUAGUAGGUGAGGUAACGGCUCACCUAGGCGACGAUACAUAGCCGACCUGAGAGGGUGAUCGGCCACACUGGGACUGAGGCACGGCCCAGACUCCUACGGGAGGCAGCAGUAGGGAAUCUUCGGCAAUGGACGAAAGUCUGACCGAGCAACGCCGCGUGAGUGAAGAAGGUUUUCGGAUCGUAAAGCUCUGUUGUAAGAGAAGAACGGGUGUGAGAGUGGAAAGUUCACACUGUGACGGUAUCUUACCAGAAAGGGACGGCUAACUACGUG
rnacentral:rRNA from 1 species